rnacentral:misc_RNA from 1 species
AACAAGGCGUACCUGCGGACCUGCGGAGGGAUCAUUACCGAGUGUGAACCCCCCCGUAAAAAAGAGGGGUUACCUCCCGUCCUUUGCUGGGAACCCCUUUCCAACUUGGAAGGAGGUUGUUUUCAGACCCUUCUGCUUCGGUGGGGUAACCCACCGGAACAACCUCAAAAAUAUUCUCAAUUCAAAACCGUUCAGUCCGAGAACUUUUUUGAAAAGCGAAAAAACUUUUAACAACGGAUC